AUUGAACGCUGGCGGCAUGCUUUACACGUGCAAGUCGAACGGCAGCGCGGGCUUCGGCCUGGCGGCGAGUGGCGAACGGGUGAGUAAUGCAUCGGAACGUGCCCAGUAGUGGGGGAUAGCCCGGCGAAAGCCGGAUUAAUACCGCAUACGACCUGAGGGUGAAAGCGGGGGACCGAAAGGCCUCGCGCUAUUGGAGCGGCCGAUGUCGGAUUAGCUAGUUGGUGGGGUAAAGGCUUACCAAGGCGACGAUCCGUAGCUGGUCUGAGAGGACGACCAGCCACACUGGGACUGAGACACGGCCCAGACUCCUACGGGGGGCAGCAGUGGGGAAUUUUGGACAAUGGGGGCAACCCUGAUCCAGCCAUGCCGCGUGCGGGAAGAAGGCCUUCGGGUUGUAAACCGCUUUUGUUCGGGAAGAAAUCCUCUGGGCUAAUACCCCGGGGGGAUGACGGUACCGGAAGAAUAAGCACCGGCGAACUACGU
rnacentral:rRNA from 1 species